GAGGAAGCUGAGGAAGGGUGAUCUUCUGCUCUGAAGCUGCUCUGGGUCCCCAGCACCCUCAGGAUUACCUCCAAGCUCCUUCAGGGCUCUCAGCUUUGCGUUCCUGAAAUGUGCUUCCUGUCCCCAGCCCUCAUCUGGAAUGAGGGUAGGGGAACAACUCUCUCCAAAAUCAUGGGGACUGAAGACUGGCAUUUUCUUUGGGGGAGAAGGGGGCUUUCCAUCCUCUGCUGCCGGGACUAUCUAACAGACAUCAUCCUCCCCUCAAGCUUUUGGCUGAUGGUGAUAAUAAAAACUCCCAUUUAUACUGCAUCUUACUUUCAAAAUUCCCUUUGCAACAUUCACUCAUUGACUCUUCAGGGACAAGCCCAAGAAACUUGUUAACCCCAUUUUACAGACAAAGAAGCAGACUGGAAGGAGGUGGCAGGUGUCUUACAGACCAAGACAGAGGGCUGUAAGCAAUGGCUGUGAGUCUGAGGGGGGUGAUUCUGGUCCCACCCCCACCCAGCCCACUCUGUGGAACCACUACCUCCCCACAGGGGCGGCUCCAAAACCUUUACCCCCAUCCUCCCCCAAGGCCCAGGUGCGGUGGGAGUAGAGCAGAUAGCCGGGGCAGGGACCCUUCCAGCUGAGAACCCUCUUCCUGUGAGCUCUGGGUGUAUGAUGCCGGUUCAUAACCCAACCACGCCCCUUACCAGCUGUGGAACCUUGAGCCAGUCACUUUACCUCUCUGUGCCUCUGUUUGCUCACCUGUAAAAUGGGUUCCAACCUUGCAGGGCUGUUGUGAGAAUGAAACAAGACUG
rnacentral:lncRNA from 1 species